rnacentral:lncRNA from 10 species
UUCAGCAUGUGCUGGGCACUGGAGACACAGGACGAAUCCGAUGCAGCCUCUAGGAGUUGGUAGUUAUUAGAAGCGAAGGACAGCAAGCUGGAGGAAAGGCGAAACUGGAGAGACGGAGACAGCUGGUUGGCAUAAGAGCAUCGGCCUGAGAAUGUCAGAACUGAGGAAGAUUUGGUAGUGUGCCAAAGUGCUGGUUAUCACAGAGUUUCAUCUCAGCACAAAACUGCCCAGCUAAAGGAUGGUGAACUGAGUCCAGAAAUGAUAUCUUUUUGUUUUCUGUUUAUUCCUGGUGUUCCUGAGUACAAGAUAAGCAACUGGAUAUUUGAAGACCCUGUGGACAUGGAUUCCUAAUAAAGGUCCUUCGAAUUUUCACUACUUCUGGGUGUAGAUAAAAUUAAUUCACAUAUAAUGGAAAGACAAAAUGUGGUAUAUCCAUACAACAGAAUACUAUACAGGAAUAAAAAUGAAUGAAUCACAGAUACAAGCAACCACAUGGAUGAACCUCAGAAACAAGACUCUUCAGUGAAAGAGGCCAGACAUAAGAGACCAACCACUCCAUUCAGAUGGGAUGUCCAGAAAAAUGGAAUCUAUAGAGACAGAAAGAAAAUUGGGGUUACCUGGGAUGGGGGUGAGGGAUUGCAGUAAAUAUGCAUGAGGGAUAUUAUUGGGGUGAUGGAAAUGUUCCCAAAUUGAUUUACUGUGAUGGUAUGCAACUUUGUAGAUGUACUAAAAUGUCAUUGAAUUGUGCACUUGAAACAAGUGAAUGAUGUGUAAAAUGUGCAAUACAGUUAUUUAUAAAAUAAAAAAUUAACAUAUAUGCAUCACACUACUUAUAAUGCAUUUAAAAAUAACUUAUAGACAAUGUAACACAAAUAAAUAGUUUCUUUCCCAAGGAGG